GGCUGGUCCAAGUCCAGUGGUGUUUACAACUAAUCAGUCACAACCAGUAGCAGAUUUCUUUGUUCCUUCUCUUCUCUCACUGCUUCACCUGACCAGCUUAAA
ensembl:misc_RNA Y_RNA Y RNA